GACGAACGCUGGCGGCGUGCUUAACACAUGCAAGUCGAACGGAAAGGCCCUGCUUUUGUGGGGUGCUCGAGUGGCGAACGGGUGAGUAACACGUGAGUAACCUGCCCUUGACUUUGGGAUAACUUCAGGAAACUGUGGCUAAUACCGGAUAGGAGCUCCUGCUGCAUGGUGUGGGCUGGAAAGUUUCGGCGGUUGGGGAUGGACUCGCGGCUGAUUAGCUUGUUGGUGGGGUAGUGGCUUACCAAGGCUUUGACGGGUAGCCGGCCUGGGAGGGUGACCGGCCACAUUGGGACUGAGGUACGGCCCAGACUCCUACGGGAGGCAGCAGUGGGGAAUAUUGCACAAUGGGCGGAAGCCUGAUGCAGCAACGCCGCGUGCGGGAUGACGGCCUUCGGGUUGUAAACCGCUUUCGCCUGUGACGAAGCGUGAGUGACGGUAAUGGGUAAAGAAGCACCGGCUAACUACGUG
rnacentral:rRNA from 1 species